AUGGACUUGGGACUGAGAUGGGUUCUUAUUGUUGCUCUAUUAAAAGGUGUCCAGAGUAAGGCGAAACUGGAGGAGUCUGGAGGAGGAUUGGUGCAACCUGGAGGGUCCAUGAAACUCUCUUGUGCAGCCUCUGGAUUCACUUUCAGUGACUACUGGAUGCACUGGAUCCGCCAGUCUCCAGAGAAGGGGCUAGUGUGGCUUGCUGAAAUUGGACGCAAAGCUAAUAAUUAUGCCACAUAUUAUGCGGAUUCUGUGAAAGGCAGAUUCACCAUCUCAAGAGAUGAUUCCAAAAGUAGUGUCUACCUGCAAAUGAACAGCUUAAGAGAUGAAGACACUGGCAUUUAUUACUGUGCAAGGCUCGGAGGUCCACUCCAUUACCACCAUGGAGCAAAGUAUGGCAGCAUUCAGAUAGACUCGGUGCUAUAA